rnacentral:rRNA from 1 species
AGUGAACGCUGGCGGCAGGCCUAACACAUGCAAGUCGAACGGCAGCACAGUGGAGCUUGCUCCAUGGGUGGCGAGUGGCGGACGGGUGAGGAAUACAUCGGAAUCUGCCCAGUCGUGGGGGAUAACAUAGGGAAACUUAUGCUAAUACCGCAUACGACCUACGGGUGAAAGCGGGGGAUCGCAAGACCUCGCGCGAUUGGAUGAGCCGAUGUCCGAUUAGCUAGUUGGCGGGGUAAUGGCCCACCAAGGCGACGAUCGGUAGCUGGUCUGAGAGGAUGAUCAGCCACACUGGAACUGAGCCACGGUCCAGACUCCUACGGGAGGCAGCAGUGGGGAAUAUUGGACAAUGGGCGCAAGCCUGAUCCAGCCAUGCCGCGUGGGUGAAGAAGGCCUUCGGGUUGUAAAGCCCUUUUGUCCGGAAAGAAACGCCUCGGAUUAAUACUCUGGGGUAAUGACGGUACCGGAAGAAUAAGCACCGGCUAACUUCGUGCCAGCAGCCGCGGUAA